UUAUGAACUGGUAGCCUCAACCUCUAAUUCGAAGAAUUACUUUAAUUCCUUAGUGGGUACUAGAAUCCACACAGACUACACACGAGCCCAACUUUGGUUGGUCAACCCAUGUGCAUCUAUGGGUAGGUUCAUAACCAGUUAUUUUUCUAAACAACUUCUAGUAAUUGAUUUUGCCCCAGAACCUAAUCUGUAGGCUUUGGCCUCCACUGAAAAAAUCUGGUUAGGUCCAACCAUUAACAUGAUUUGAUUUGAUG
rnacentral:lncRNA from 1 species